UACGGAGGAUCCAAGCGUUAUCCGGAAUCAUUGGGUUUAAAGGGUCCGUAGGCGGUUUUGUAAGUCAGUGGUGAAAUCUGGUCGCUCAACGAUCAAACGGCCAUUGAUACUGCAAGACUUGAAUUAUUGUGAAGUAACUAGAAUAUGUAGUGUAGCGGUGAAAUGCUUAGAUAUUACAUGGAAUACCAAUUGCGAAGGCAGGUUACUAACAGUGGAUUGACGCUGAUGGACGAAAGCGUGGGGAGCGAACAGG
rnacentral:rRNA from 1 species